GAUGAACGCUGGCGGCGUGCCUAAUACAUGCAAGUCGAGCGAACAGACGAGGAGCUUGCUCCUCUGACGUUAGCGGCGGACGGGUGAGUAACACGUGGAUAACCUACCUAUAAGACUGGGAUAACUUCGGGAAACCGGAGCUAAUACCGGAUAAUAUAUUGAACCGCAUGGUUCAAUAGUGAAAGACGGUUUUGCUGUCACUUAUAGAUGGAUCCGCGCCGCAUUAGCUAGUUGGUAAGGUAACGGCUUACCAAGGCAACGAUGCGUAGCCGACCUGAGAGGGUGAUCGGCCACACUGGAACUGAGACACGGCCCAGACUCCUACGGGAGGCAGCAGUAGGGAAUCUUCCGCAAUGGGCGAAAGCCUGACGGAGCAACGCCGCGUGGGUGAUGAAGGUCUUCGGAUGGUAAAACUCUGUUAUUAGGGAAGAACAAAUGUGUAAGUAACUAUGCACGUCUUGACGGUACCUAAUCAGAAAGCCACGGCUAACUACGU
rnacentral:rRNA from 1 species